rnacentral:SRP_RNA from 1 species
UGUAUAGGCUAGCUGGGGGGGUUGUAGUCUCCUGUUACCGGAAAUCUACAUAGCCGGAGUGAUUAUUACUGGAAGGCAAAUAAGCAAGGAGGCACUCUUUGUAAAAUUGCUGACGGUUCGUCCAUUAAGAUCGAAUAUCUUAGUAAACCCUGUCAGAUCCGGAAGGAAGCAGCAGUAUCCUAAGUGUUUGAUGCUUUUUGGGUUGCGGACUUGAGAUUUUAUAAAGCUAAAUGUUUUCUUGAACUGUUUUUCGACCAGUAAGUGCCUGUACA